rnacentral:lncRNA from 1 species
ACAAACAUAUUCAUGGGAUAGAAUUGCCCAGGGCUAAAUACUUGCAUGCACACACACACAAAUAAGAAUAAGUAAAACUAGGCAAAUCUGAAGAACAGUGGGUUAUAUUAAUGUCAACAUCCUGGUUGUAAUACUGCAAGCCUAUAGUUUUGCAAGAUGUUCCAAUGAGGAAAACUGGUUAAAGGAUACAACUACAUGUGGAUCUGUCAUCAUCUCAGCAAAAAUUUCAAUUAAAAAAGUAAACAGUUCCAAAAAGAACAGCUUUAAGGGCAGCAAAGAAGGCAGGAAUUUGAGCAAUUUCAUGCCUCUGAAGUCAGUUUUUAUGUGAAUAAAGAAAUAUCCAAAAUAGAAAGGAUGGAGCAAAUUCUAGAGGAAGCAAUAACAAUAAUAGUAGUAGUAAGAAGAAAAGGAAGGAUACAGGGAAGAAGAAGAAAAAGGAGUUGCAGAAGGAGGCAUAUUAGUGUCCCCGUGGAUAACCAGAUGUCAACGUUUGCCAUUUGAACACAUGACGCACUAACAGAAGAUGUCAAUAAAUAAUGUUUGGAAAAACAACAAUAAUCAGAAAAUUUCGGAACUCUGAUCUCAAGAGCUAUUUAGUAAGGUUGACACUGGCCAUUUUCAAGGUUCACUGUACAAUGUUAAAACUCUUGUGUGACACAAGCUUGGGCUUCCUUAAUAAACAAAGUGAAGUUUCCUGUGUCAGUAGGAGAGGUCAGGAGUAAGGAGUUCACCAGCCCUGCCUAACUGAGGCAGUCUCCCCUUAGCACCCUUCCAAAGACACCCAGCAGCAUAAAUACAGUCCUAUCAUCAAGGAUGGAUGUGGCAGCCACAAAUGAUGGGAGACUCUUCAGGUCCAUCUCACAAGGAGGGGAGUAGAAAGACUGGUAUUUGUAUAAUGGCCUUCAGUUUCCAGAUGUCAAAGAUUCCCUCAGGCUUCCUCUGCCAGAAAGCUUCAACAAGGUAUAGCACAGACAAGAUCUAUGACACAUAGAAGUUUGGAUCAAUAAUGUGGAAAAGUGAGCCUCCCUGGAGGCUCUGGGCUUUCACAGCACUAUGCCUCAGUGUCUGGGCUUUCCUCCUUUUUUUUUCUGCACCUGCACCCGUAUUGAGUCAGCAUCUGCUCCCAUCACAUGAGCCAGGUAAAGAUGCAUUUGGUCGAGCAGAUUGCAUCUCCUCAUCUGGCCUGACAUUUGUCUGUCAUGCUGUGGCUGGAAUGUGAUACCUAGUCGACAAAACACAGCCCUCACACAUGUCAGAAGGCCCUUUGUUCCACCAGCAAGCCCCUGCUGCUUGGGGUCCUCUGAUGGCUCCGGGAUUCAGGCCUGUCUCUUCUUGGUUCUUUCAAGACAAAUGGCCAGAUCACAAGAAAGGAGGUGCUGCUCAGUUCAACAUCCGUACCUCCCCAUACAAACACACCUCUGCCUGCAUGCUUCAGAGUCAAUCCUGGAGGCUUCGGAAUCCUGUGCACACUCAUGUGUGUGCCUGUGUGUGAGAGUGUGCUCAGCUCUGAUCUUUUGUUUUUAUCUUGAGCCUUGUCCUGAGAGUUCUUGGCAUCUUGGAUGAGGUGGCAAAAUAACAGCAGGGGGCAAUGGCUCAAAGGAAGGACUCUGCAAGCAGUCACAGAUGCGAAGCAUCUGCAUCUAGGAGAGAGAAAACAAGAACUCCAUAGUCCAAAAGUGCAUCACAACAACCUCCCUGCUCCCUCUGAAGGAAUUAUAAACAGCGCUCAAGAAUCUUAGGAAAAGAAGUGUGGAAAAUGUCUCAUUUACAUUCUCUGAAAACUCCAUUCAUAGCACAUAUCCCAUGUAUAUAACAGAGGAUGUUAUGUUUUUGAAAAAGACCUCCUUAUCAUUAUCAUUUCCUGAUGCACUGGAUAUAUCUGAUGGAUGCAUCCGUCUCCUAAGGCCAGCAGACAGAGUUAUGAUGAGCUGGCUUCACCCUCUCAGUGAAGUUCUUUCUUCAUCAACGCUCCUCUGAGCGAGAAACCCCUCAGUCAGCUCUGAAACUACCAUGAAUGAAUUACUUACAUCCUAAAUGUCCUUGCAUUUGUACUAACCCCUACUCAUGCAUAACAGCUUAUGCUAAACUCCAGUCAGACUGAAAAGUAUUAAUCCUAGGCUCCUUACAAGCAGAUUGGAAGAUCUAACAAUAUGUGAGAUUUUUAAGAGUGAUUACAGAAAUUUAUCACUAAGAUGGCUUUUUUUUUUUUUGGUCUUUUUUGAGUCUGAAUGGAGUGCUGUCAGCAUCUCACUCCUUCCUUAAGAGGAGGCAUGCUGACUGGCACAGGGACAGUGGUACAGUGUCUCUACCAAGUUGCUGGACUCUUUUCAAGCCUUUCGUAAGAUUUCCUCUAUAUAUGGUCCCUUGACAUUCUCUGCAAGGCCCCAUGUUUGAGGGCCAGGCUGGUGAGGGGAAAGGGGCCUGAUGUGUAUGAGCCCUUCCUGGAAGGGGCAUGACUCCAAAUACCACAGUGCAUGCUGCUGAAGGAUGCAUGGACCCGAUGAAGAGACCUUAGUAUUGGUUGGGAAUUCGAACAAGGUCAUCUCCUCAGUACCUUCCAAUUCUAAGAUACUGCUAUUCUAAAAUUAAGUCAAUGCUGGAUAAGAGGAAUGGUAUUCGUGGGCCCAGGCAGGGGGUCUCAAAGCAGGGCUCUCUGCAACAUUUGGUUCCCUGAAUACAAUCUGGAUGAUGGCUGUGGCUUCUACAUUUUCUGCAAAGCAAUACAGGGCAGUCCUGAUCCCCGAAUCCUUCUAUUUCCUUGACACCAGACCCUCAUCAAGCAGGCAGGUGCUGUGCAGCCACACACCACUUCUGAACCUGCUAGUACCCUGAAGUUCAUUUUGCAUCUGAGCGGCUCGUUCAACAAUUAAAACCUGUCUUUUUUUUAUAGGCUCAGUUUCUUGUUAAACUGGAUCCUGAACCAACAACUCCAACCUAGCCACUGCGUUCAGUGCAACAGAGUGUCCAAAGACGAGCACAUCAGGGACCUGGCCAUCAAAUAACUUUGAUGGUGGGCCAGGCAGAAGACGUUAUCAUCAUGACGUCUCAGGUCAUGAUGCCAGGGAAGAAUAAAUAAAUGCAAGGUGCCAGGGAAGAAUAAAUAAAUGCAAGACUUACAUUGUCUUAAUGGAUUGGGGGCACUUUUGUGGAGUAGAUAAAUAGCCUUUGAAAAAUGGUUAGGAUUUCAACAAUUAGAAGGAAGGGGCAUGGACAUAACUAGAAAGCAAGUUAUAGGCUAAGAGAGCAAAGUCAGCAAAGGAAAAGAGGCACAGAGGUGCAGCUGUGACCGGCUAUGCAGAAGGUAGGCUCGGGCCCAGGCACGCUGGGGCCAAGGGAGCAAGAGGAGCAGGCGGAUAGAUGGGCUCCCUGGACACCAGACUGAUGAGUUUGGACGCUGUUUCUCCAGCAGCGGAUGAUGACUGAAGGAGUCUGAGCAAGGGGUGCUGUGCUCAGGAUACUCCUGGGUGUGUGACAGUCAGACCUAAGGUGUGGCUGGGAGGCAAAGGGUCAGGAACUAGGAGUGCUUUGCCCCUGGGAGCUUGUUUCCACUUGGGGCCUGGCGCCUACCCCUUAUUCCGCCAUCCACUCUACCCACAGCAUCCGUCCUGAAGCAAAGUAGGAAUCUUUUUCUAAAGAAACUCGUUUUAAAUUGAAGACUCUUGAAAAAACCCUGAAAAUCCAAAAGGCAUGCCUCCGCCGCUGGAAGGGAGCCCUCCAGGAGGGAAUGGAAGAGGCCUGGAGGAGAAGGCGAAGGCAAAGGCGCGCACCAAGCCUGCUUCUCAGAGUUGGCGCCUCCCCGGGAAUCCCCCAACCCUGGACCUGGCCUGAAAGCAAGGCACCAGCUUUUAGAUCCCCUGAUGAGUCCUGUCUUUUUCUCAGGCUUCAGGAUUCCAUUUCGCUGCUCCGAAUAAGGCGUCAGGUCUGGAAGGCCGCCGGGCGGAGGCGCAGAGCCCUGACACCACCCCAUCCAGAGCACGCAGCCCAGCGCGAGGGAGCAGGGGCCCGGCCACCUCACCUCCGCCACACCCGCGGCUUCUUCCUUCCUGCCAGAGAAUCGCAAAGGCUCUCUGCUCAGAGUCCGUCACCCACAUUCAUGUCUUUAAUUGCCUUGUAUAAGGAGUCAUUUAAUUUUUGACCUGUUUCUAUAGGUUGAUAAACGAAACAGAGAACAAAAGAAAGUUGCCAACAACAAAACAACAACUUAAAGCCAAAUUCUUGCUGUCUACCUUUCCCUUGGAAGCCAGUCAAGUGGACACCGGCACACUCCAACCUCCAGCCAGCACACGGUGACUAACAGGUCUCUCCUCGGCUGAACCUCUCACUCUGACCACUCCCAGCUCUGCACCAUGGCUGCCAUGCAGUCACAUUAAGGCUGGAAGAAAAGUAGAAACCAUUUCCAUACAAAGGAGGGACCUGCUGGGGUGCCCAGGAGGAGAAAAAGAGCCACACUUAGAAUUCUCAGAAAUGAUGUUUUAACUUCCCCACCAUAAAUGUUUCCUGUCUCAUGCUCAUAACUGUCCCUAAGUCACCUGCAAAAAAAGGGGAAAAUGGUACUUUUGAUUUUACAAUUUCUUUCUUUUUAUUUCUUUUCUCUUUCUCUUUCUUUCAUUUCUCGGUAUUUCUUUUUAUUUCUUUCUGGGAUGUAUGCACCUUAAACUUUAAACACAGCAGGUACUAAAAAAUAAAGAUUAGAUUGAAGUAUAUGAAACUGAUAUUUUGGUAAGUCAAAAAUGGACAAAUAUCCUCAAUUUAUAUCGUUCAAUCUAACAGACGACAUGAAAGGGUAGUCAAAGCUUCUAAAGCUGCUAAAUUGUCUUUCCCUGGGCUUCACUGGCACUGGUGAGUUGCUGGCCUAGUUUGCUGCCAGGUGCACGCUAACCUCCUUACCUGGUCAGUCCCCACCAGCUGCUCCCUGAGGUGCCCAGAAGCUGGCCCAUGGUCAUCACUGCCUUUCUCCCCACCAAGGAGAUGCCAGGCCCUUUCCACAGCUACACAUAAAGUCGGUGUUGUGUUGAAUUCUGGGCAAAGUUCACAACAAACUAGCCCCAUGGGUUUGCCAUAGAGUCUGCCACUGUCACUGUGGCCAGAGGAGCCCUGGAGCUCCUCCCACACCUCAUGAGAAUGGCCAGUGACAUGCCAGAGCUCCUGGUGCUUCAGGUGAAGAAGACCCUCUUGUAAAUCCAUCUCAGUCCACUCCCAUAUUCCCUGAACUGGGCUGGGAGGGAGCCAGCUCCACUGGGACAGGGAAUCCCUGCUGUACUCCCAGGUCACAGUGAAUGUGUGUUGGCAAAUCCCAUCCUCCCAAGAUGUCAAAGUGGAUGCAGAAGAGGAACACGAGACACACACACACACACACACACACACCCCUUCUUACACCCAGGACAAAACACCACAGUUUUUCUGAAAGUUUUGUUGUCCUCUGGUGAGUACUGUUUUCCUUCCUUCCUUCCUUCCUUCAUUGAAGAUUUUGUUGCAUGUUUACUGUAUACCAGACAUUGCACUUUUCCAACAAAAACAAUCAAGACUCAGACGCCUCUCGGAAAGCUUAGGUUCUACAAAGAGGGAAUGAGUACACACACAAGCAACCCACUAAUGCCUCUGCUGUAUGAAUAUAAAGGGAGGAGCCGUUUAUGCUGCCUGAGGAAGUCAGUGGGUAUGCAUGGUGUGCGGUGAUACUGCUCAGCCCACCAACAGUGAAUGCAUAAUACAGACUGAUUGAUGAUUGAUUGAUUGAAAAUGAGGGAAGGAGCUGCUCACCCUCUAAGUGCCAGUCAUUGUUCUAGGUGCUGGGAGCAAAGUUGUGAGUAAAACACAAAUCUGUUCCUUCAAAUGAAGUGGGUUUGACAAACAUGAUAUUUAGAAUUGCAUUUGGGGGGAAAAAAAGAAUUUUUAAAAGAGAAAGCAGAAUAAGGAAUUCUGAGCAGAAGGAACACCAUGAGGUAAUGAAAGUUCAUGGGAUGUACGGAGUCCGGAUAGAAAAACUCCAGAGUCAGAAAGGUUCAGAAUCUAAUGAAUUUUAGAGAAAAAAAAUAUGAAAAAUGGUAGUAUAUCCUGGUCUCUGCUUUUGUCUCUAUUAAAAUUGUUAUCAACAUUUCCAGACCUCUCCCUAGUCACCAAAAUAGGAAGGAGAAAAUAAAGGAAAUCAAUCUGGCAUUUUAAUUUGUCUCUAUUUCUGGCAAUUUACCUCUAACCCAAAUAGAAUGGACAGUUGAAAUGGGUCCUUAGGGGCAGGUGGGAGUGAACUGGGCUAGAAACAGCCUGUCAUCAGGAGAGAAUCCUUCCUCAUGCCACACCCACUCGGCCCUUGGGGUUUGUUUCCUUGGUCUGUUUCCUGUCCCAAAGCUUAAACCUCUUCGCUCUCUCCAAUUCCUAAUAAAGUAAACACUGAAGAACAACUCAGCAAACUUAGACUUCUAAGAUUGCAUUUUUAUUGUAUUGUGGUGAAAUGUACAGACAGGGAAAUGCACAGACUAUAAGAAUACAAUCAUAUCCCUUUCUAGACAAUGCCACCCGUGCAGAGACAACCACCCUUCUGCCUGUUACCACCAUAGAUUAAUUUUGCCUGUUCUCAAACUUAAUACAAAUGGAAUCAUGAAGUAUAUGCUUUUUAGGGUCUGACUUCUCUCCCUCUGCAUAAUGUUCUUGAGAUUCAUGCAUGAUGUUUUAUUUAUCAAUAGUUUGUUUCCUUUUAUUUUUAAGUAGUAGUCCAUUUUAUGGCUACCAAACUGUUUAUCCAUUCUCUUUUGACAGACAUUUGGUUUUUUCCAUGUUUUUGCUUUUAUAGACAAAGCUGCCAUGAAUAUUCUUAUUUUAGUCUUUUUCGGUUUUUAUUUCUCUUGUAAAUACCUGGAAAUGGAAUGGCUGGGCUCUGAAGCAACUGUAUGUUUAACUUUAUAAGAAGCUGCCAAAUUGUUUUCCAAGAUGGUUGUACCAUUUUACAUUCCCACCAGCAGCAUUUGAGAGUUUCAGUUGCUGGAUAGCCUUGUCAACAUUUGGUGCUGUCAGUCUUUCCAAUUUUAAGUAUGCUAAUGCGUAUAAAAUUGUAUGUCAUGGUUUUCAUUUGCAUUUUUGUAGGAUCUUGAUCACUUUUUCAUGUACUUGUUGACCAUUCCUCUCUUCUUUAGAGAAGUGUCUUUUGCACAUUUAAAUGAAUUAUAUAUGUAAUGUAUUUAUUUUUAUAGAAGUCCUUUGUCACAUAUAUGUAUUGUAAAUAUUUUUAUUUACAUCUGUAGCUUGCAUUUUCAUUUUCUUAAUGGUUUCUUUUGAUGAGCAGUUUUAGUUUUGAUGAAGUCCAAUUUAUCAGUCUUUGUUUCCUUUUUGUUUUUAACUUGCUCUGUCCUCCCUCAGAAAUCUUUGCCUACUUCAAAGGUUGCAAAGAUAUUGUUCAGUGUUGUCUUACAGAAGCCUUAGACUCUUAGUUUUUGUGGUUAAGUUUAUGAUACAUCUUAAAUUAAUUUUGUGUGUUUGUGAAUGAUAAAGAUUGAGUCAUUUUUUCACACUUUUAUGUAGCUGAACAGGUGUCAUUCUGAUGACAACAAUGGCCUUGAACGUCUGUCAAAAAAAUCACUUGACCAUGUAUGUGUAGGUCUGUUUCUGAACUCUCCAUUCUCUUCCAUUGAUCUACUUGUCUAUUCUUAAAGCAAUAACCCACUAUUAUAAUUAAUAUAGGUCAAUAGAAAAAAAACUGAUGUCAGAUAAUGAGUCCUCCAAUGUGUUUCUCUUUCUCCACACAACCCCCACCACCCAGCAAUGUAUCGGUUUUCUUAGGUGCUUUGCUUUCCCAAAUAUCUUUUAGAAUCAGCUGGCCUUUUCUUUUACAAAGUGCCAUUGGAAUUUUGGUUGAGACUGUGUUGAAUCAAUAGAUCAAUUUGAGGAGAAACAACACAAGAAAGACAGUGUGUCCUCCAGCCAUGAGCAUGGUUAUUACUCUCCAUUCAUUUAGGCCUCCUGUAAUUUCUCUCAGCAGUGCCUUAUAGUUUUCAAUGUAGUAAUCUUGGAUGUCUUUUCUUGAACUUAUUGUUUUAUUUUGUAUGUGUGUUAUUAUAGAUGGAUUAUUUUUGUUUAAUUUUUCAAGUCUUUGCUGCAAGUAUAUAGAAAUACAAUUCAUUUUUGUAUAUAGUUCAUGUAUUUUACAACUACUGAAUUCACUAUGGUUUCUAGCAGUUGCUUUGAAGAUUCCUUAGAUAGCUGUGUAAACCAUAAUAUCAUCUGCAAAUAAAAUAAUUUUACUUCUUCUCUCGCA